UUUCCCUCAGGAUAGCUGGCACUCGCUUCGAGCGAGUCUCAUCUGGUAAAGCGAAUGAUUAGAGGCCUUGGGGCCGAAACGACCUCAACCUAUUCUCAAACUUUAAAUGGGUGAGAUCUCUGGCUUGCUUGAACGUUGAAGCCACGAGAUUUACUUUGUAUUUGGAUCAGAGUGCCAAGUGGGCCAAUUUUGGUAAGCAGAACUGGCGCUGUGGGA
rnacentral:rRNA from 1 species